rfam:Glycine soja cultivar W05 scaffold9586_2, whole genome shotgun sequence.
AUGUUAACGUAUGAUAUGUUAACAUCGGUUUUCCAAAAAAUCGAUGUUAAUGCAUACACGUUAACAU